rnacentral:lncRNA from 1 species
CUCCGCCGCGGGCUCUGCCCGCUCGCCUGCUCGCCUGGUGGGGGAGAGGGGAGCGGGGCCGACACAGGACUGCAGUUGACAGCAGAUAACUGAAAGCUCGGAAAGCGAAACCGUGGAUAAGCAGGGGAACUGUGGCAUCCCAUUUAAAAUUGCUUCUGAAGAGAAGCAUGAGGUUACAUCUGUAAUCUCCCUGCAGCAGAGUCAACUGCAUAAGAAACCAAAAGACACACCUGCUCCAUGCCAGCCUAAGCCACCACAUAAAAAGUCAGACCAUCUGCUGGAAGAACCACAUGGAGAGGCCCUGAGUCAACAUGGAGAGGAAGAAGGACUUGACUGAAUCCAGCCUUCCAGCUGUCCCUACCAAGGUGCCAGGCAUGAGAAUGAAGCUGUCUUGAACUCUGAAGACCAGCUUAGCCACCAGUUUCUGUGGGCCUCAAACAACACUUUCUGCAUUUUCCCCUCUCGCCCCCUACUCAUCACUCCCUGAAAGGUAAGUAGAGUUGGGUUGAAGAUGAAAUUCAACAUGUAAUUGGCACCUCGCAACCAGCACUUUGAUUCUGCAGUCACACAGGUCUCACAUGG